UACGUAGGUGGCAAGCGUUGUCCGGAUUUACUGGGUGUAAAGGGCGUGUAGCCGGGCUUACAAGUCAGAUGUGAAAUCCGGGGGCUCAACCCCCGAACUGCAUUUGAAACUGUAGGUCUUGAGUAUCGGAGAGGCAGGCGGAAUUCCUAGUGUAGCGGUGAAAUGCGUAGAUAUUAGGAGGAACACCAGUGGCGAAGGCGGCUUACUGGACGACUACUGACGCUGAGGCUCGAAAGCGUGGGGAGCAAACAGG
rnacentral:rRNA from 1 species